rnacentral:rRNA from 1 species
UACGGAGGGAGCUAGCGUUGUUCGGAAUUACUGGGCGUAAAGCGCACGUAGGCGGCUUUGUAAGUUAGAGGUGAAAGCCCGGGGCUCAACCCCGGAACUGCCUUUAAGACUGCAUCGCUUGAAUCCGGGAGAGGUGAGUGGAAUUCCGAGUGUAGAGGUGAAAUUCGUAGAUAUUCGGAAGAACACCAGUGGCGAAGGCGGCUCACUGGACCGGUAUUGACGCUGAUGUGCGGAAGCGUGGGGAGCAAACAGG